rnacentral:rRNA from 1 species
UCGGGAAUUUUGGGCAAUGGGCGAAAGCCUGACCCAGCAACGCCGCGUGAAGGAUGAAGUAUUUCGGUAUGUAAACUUCGAUAGAAUGGGAAGAAUAAAUGACGGUACCAUUUAUAAGCUCCGGCUAACUACGUGCCAGCAGCCGCGGUAAUACGUAGGGAGCAAGCGUUGUUCGGAUUUACUGGGCGUAAAGGGCGCGUAGGCGGCCUGUUAAGUCGAACGUGAAAUCCCCGGGCUCAACCCGGGAACUGCGUCCGAAACUGGCAGGCUUGAAUCCGGGAGAGGGAUGUGGAAUUCCAGGUGUAGCGGUGAAAUGCGUAGAUAUCUGGAGGAACACCGGUGGCGAAGGCGGCAUCCUGGACCGGCAUUGACGCUGAGGCGCGAAAGCGUGGGGAGCAAA